AUUCCCAGCCUGUUGGUAAAUCGUUUGGUCGUUUCUGGUGGUGGAAGUGUAAGUUUGAUUCCUAUCUGCAACAAUUUUUUUCCCCUCACACAUAUUUGGAAUUAGUUUUUAUGUUGGAUCCUCACGAAAAAUUCCAAUCUCCCCCCAAUAUGCAUCACGAAAAUUUUUAAUCUCCCCCCAAUAUACCUCUAUAUCCCUAAUUAUCCUGCUUUCCCUUCCAUAUGUUAUCUUCUUUUUCGCGAGACCCUCCAUCUUCUGGGUGCUAUUUCCGACGUCGAUCCCAAAGACCUUCCACCACCUCUGGCGCUCCGUUCGUCACCAUCUCCGACUUUGCCUCUUCGACCGUCGCACACAGAGCACACCCUCUGACCUCCCAUCUUCGGCAUGCCUGUUCGUCACCAUCUCCGGCUGUUGUUGGUGAUGGCGGAUAGCGAUUUCGAUGUUGUGGAGGCUGGAAAAACACGAAGAAACAGCCCAAUCGUUAUGAUUUUCAGCUUGUGAACACAAGAUGAGAAGGGUUUAAGGGCUACAAAUAGUUAUACUUCUAUAUAGAUUUGCUCAUGUAAGUGGACAUUCAUUUGUAUGAAUUUUGUAUGUAAAUUAAGUACUAGUAAUAUCUUGUACACAGUAGGAUAAUGCAUUCAAAUGUAUUGUAUGUGUAUCAAUUGUAUUGGUUUGUAUUUAAAUUACUUUUUUGAAAUAAAUUGAGUAAAUGCAAAGUACAAAGUUGUAACCCACAAUGUCUAUUGUAAUGUUUAUUAGUUUUGUAGUUGAAUAAGAAUUUUAUUAUAAAUUUAAUGUA